rnacentral:rRNA from 1 species
AAUGAGCGCUGGCGGCGUGCCUAAAACAUGCAAGUCGUGCGGUAACAGGUCCUUCGGGAUGCUGACGAGCGGCGGACGGCUGAGUAACGCGUGGGAACGUGCCCCAAAGUGAGGAAUAACUGCCCGAAAGGGUGGCUAAUGCCGCAUAUGGUCUUCGGAUUAAAAGGAUUUAUCCGCUUUGGGAGCGGCCCGCGUAAGAUUAGAUAGUUGGUGAGGUAAUGGCUCACCAAGUCGACGAUCUUUAACUGGUUUGAGAAGAUGAUCAGUCAGACUGGAACUGAGAAACGGUCCAGACUCCUACGGGAGGCUG